rnacentral:lncRNA from 1 species
AACAAGAAGUAAGAAAAAACUCGUGGAUCAAACGUUGCAAUUUCUCUACAAAACUUAAGUAUUCAAAUCUAAAUCAUCAAGAUUCAAGAUCAAGACCACAAGAUUCAAGAACAAGCCCAAAAACUCUUGAAUUCAAAUACAUGUCAAGAUCAAAUCCAUUAAAUCCGCAAAUCAAGCUCAAAUUCAAGAUCAAGCUCGAAGCUCUUGAGUUUAUAUUUAGAAAGGAGAAUCGGAG